CCUACGGGAGGCAGCAGUGAGGAAUAUUGGUCAAUGGACGCAAGUCCGAACCAGCCAUGCCGCGUGCAGGAAGACGGCUCUAUGAGUUGUAAACUGCUUUUGUACGAGGGUAAACGCAGAUACGCGUAUCUGUCUGAAAGUAUCGUACGAAUAAGGAUCGGCUAACUCCGUGCCAGCAGCCGCGGUAAUACGGAGGAUUCAAGCGUUAUCCGGAUUUAUUGGGUUUCAAGGGUGCGUAGGCGGUCGGUUAAGUUAGCGGUGAAAUCCCGGGGCUCACCUUCGGAAUUGCCUCUGAUACUGUUCGGCUAGAGAGUAGUUGCGGUAGGCUGAAUGUAUGGUGUAGCGGU
rnacentral:rRNA from 1 species